UACAGAGGUCCCAAGCGUUGUUCGGAUUCACUGGGCGUAAAGGGUGCGCAGGCGGCCAGGCAAGUUCGGUGUGAAAUCCCGGAGCCUAACUCCGGAAUGGCAUUGAAUACUUCUUGGCUCGAGUAUUGGCGGGGGGACUGGAAUUCUCGGUGUAGCAGUGAAAUGCGUAGAUAUCGAGAGGAACACCAGUGGCGAAGGCGAGUCCCUAGACAAUUACUGACGCUGAGGCACGAAGGCUGGGGGAGCAAACAGG
rnacentral:rRNA from 1 species